AUUAUGAUUAAAUAUCUGGUUCUGUAUUAGUCAUUCUCCUCGAACGUGGUAACUGUUUUCAAGUACUAUCACAGUUAUUGUAAUGUCAACUGUGUAAUAUUCUGAAUGACUUAAAUUAUGAUUAAAUAUCUGGUUCUGUAUUAGUCAUUCUUCCCGAACGUGGUAACUGUUUUCAAGUACUGUCACAGUUAUUGUAAUGUAGAAGACUGGAAAGUCUGAUUACAAAUAUUUUUAAUGCUGGUUGACAGCAAAGAUAUUUGACACAAAGUACUCAAUCCCACAUUUUCAUCACUUAUCAGUGUUCGAGAGUGCUUUGUUUGGCGAGUCUGUAAUGUUCCAUCAUAAUUGUAGUAAUUUUGUUUAAAAUACUCUAGACAUUCUGAUGGUUUCCACGGCAUUUACUACUUUUUGAGUAAAAAAUAAAAUGUAGAGAGAUUUGUGAAUUUUUAAAUAACACGAUCUUUGUUGCAGAGUGUCAGUAUUAUGCACUGAACUGUAAUAUUAUUUUGUAAUUACAAAAACCUUCGUUAAAUGUUUACAAUACAUACCAUGUAAGAAACUUGCUUAAGAACUACCAGCUUGUAAUUACCUUGUUUGUGUUAGCUGCUGUGAAAUCAAAGUUAAUUAGUUGGAAAUGUAGCUUAUUGUGGGAAAAUCUGUGUAUAUAAUACGUAUACAAGGCUUCACUAUGUAAAUACAUAAUAGACACUUUUUGUACACCAAAGAACACUGGGAGAGUUGAAACAAUAGAAACACAGUACUAGGGAAGUGGAUGUGGCGUCCGGCCGACCCAGAUAUAUAGCUUUUUUUGCACCAGAUCGUAACCUUAACACGAUAACAGCACUGAGUAGUUUACCCAGAGAAUAUUUUCAAGGGAAAAUAUUAAAGAUAUUUAUUUUUAAUGCAGUUAAUUUAUUUUUUUUUCACUAUUUUGUUUUAAUAUUCUCUAGUAGGUACUGUACAGUGAAUAUUUUGAUAGCUGAAUUAGGUUUUAUUUAGGUUGUGCAAUUACUGGUUAGUAAGUUGAACCUACUAUUCAGUCAAAGAAUAAAAAUAUGGUAAGUAGCUUCAUGUUCUCAGAGUACCUUUUGUUAUGAGUAAUGUUUAGCAUAAUUCUCUUGGUGGUAACUAAUAUUAAAACCCUUUCUUUUACAGCAUGAUUUGUUAAAAGUAUUUCCUUUUACUAUGUUAGUUGAAUUACAAGAACUUGGCUGCUAUGUCAGGCUGUUGAUAAUUAUAAGAUAACUUACUUUUUUUAGCCUAUUUACAUUUACUUGUGAUCAACACCAGUAUUUAAUGCUUUUUUUUUAGUUUUGUCAUUGUGCUAUUACAUGUAUAACUAAAAAAAAAGUUUAUUUUGAAAUGGUAGAUUAGUUAAUCUUUUUAAAAAAAACUUCUGAUAAAUGUUGCUUCUAAACACUGUCAGAAAACAAAACUGAAACCACUGAGAGAAUGAUUAAUGUUUAUGUUCUUGACUGUUCUUAUACUUUGAGUCUUUUAAUAUCAUUUGCACCUAUUGUAUACUAUUUUCAUUUUUAUUUACUACAUUACUAUGUAAUCUUUGACUAAAACCUCAGUAUUAUUGAUGUUUUGUGAUGAGCUCUAAUAGUUAACCACACCAACAAUUAUUUCUCCCUCAAGUUGUUUUAUGUAUAAAAAACAACUUAGCCAAUUUUUUUAUUGUACAUGUAUAGAUCGUGAGAUUUAUAUAGUUUGAUGUAAAUAAUACAAACGUCAGUAUUGAAUAUUUGACUCUUCAAAUACCCCACCCUUAUUAUUUUAUCUCUCUUUAUAUUACUAGUUUUUAAUUAUUUAUUGUGAUAUUUGUAACACAAAAGCUGGUUUAUUAUUUCUUUCUAAACAUUUUCAAUAAUGGUAGCCAUUUUGAAAUUUUUUUACAUAUAGAUCAGUAAUCAUAAAAACGUGUAUUUCUUUGUCUUUUGAUGUUUGUAAUUUUAUUAAUUUCACUUUUUUGUAUAAAACAUCAGGUUUUCUCAGUACUAUAAAUAUACACACAGUUUUUCAUAUAAGUCUUUAUUUCUGCUUGAAUUCAAGAUGUUAGAGAAUUCUCAAAGAGGGUAGUUUCAAUACAACGGUCUUCUGUGUUCCUUUAUUGUAGGCGAUUUUUCUCUUGCUAAGAACUUAUAAUCUAAAAAAGCAUUAUUGAAUACGAAUAUAGUACUUAACUUGAAAAUGUUUACUUAUGUUUAGAUCUUGAAACAUUUGUCAGUGUGUGACUUUCAUUACCUGCAGUAAUUAAAUUGUCACUUAAAUGUUGAAAGUGUAUUAAACUCUGAUUCAUAAAGAUUUAUUUUGAUUAGAAAACUGAAAUUUUUGGACGAUUCUGUGAGCGUCAGUUUCUCUCGUUUAAUGAUCUAAGCCUUAUUAGUUAAAACCUUGACUGUAACCAGUCAUAAGUUCUUGUCUUGCUCUUUGUGACUGGUGUGUACAUAACUCGGAUCUUUUCCUUUUCUGUACUUUUAUAGAGAUGGGACGUGCGUGUAUAACAUCUCUUGUCUCUUACUUUACAAAAUAUUCUGUAAUUCUUUACCCUGGGGACGUGCGUGUAUAACAUCUCUUGUUUCUUACUUUACAAAAUAUUCUGUAAUUCUUUACCCUGGGGACGUGCAUGUAUAACAUCUCUUGUCUCUUACUUUACAAAAUAUUCUGUAAUUCUUUACCUCGAGCUCUUUGUUUAUUUUGUAAACCAUUCAUAUGGCUAUGACACUAAUUAUCUAUGCGUGUUAAAGAAAGACAUUUGUGCCAUAACUCAUUUGAUGACUGGAGAAGAAAUGGACAGUUUUUAAAUAUUUCUCAUCACCUUUUAGUUUCUGGAGAUUAAACCAGUACUUUAUGAAAUAAUACUUUUCUCAACAGUACUGAGUUGCAUAAAAAGUUUUCUGGGAUUGAUAUUUUAGUGUGAUAGAUUUAGUUUAAGCCUAGUUGCGUCCCUAGGAUAUCAUAACUCAAAUUAUCAGUUUGUAGACUUACAGAAUAUUACCAGUCAGAUUUAUUAAAUUGGAAACCAAGGUGACCUUCCACUUUAUGAAAUAAUACUUUUCUCAAUGGUACGGAGUUGCAUACAAAGUUGUUUGGGAUUGAUAUUCUAGUGUAGAUCUAGUUACAUCCCAUCAUGUUUUAUGAUGAGUCAACACAGUAGCAUGCAUGCAUGGUUAUGGAUAAAUAAAAGUGAUAUAUUAAUUAUAAUUGGAUCUAUAAUGUCAGAUCUUAUAUUUUAUUUGAGAACUAUCUGAACAAGAUAUGUCAAAUUAACUGCAGCUUUAAAUUUCAUAGUCGUCAAGCUGAAAUGGGUAGAUGGUAAAAACAAAAUAAAAACGUUGAUUUUGAGAAAGUGUUAUUAUUACAACAGAGAUCAGAAGUUUAUGAAAAGGAAGUGUGUAUGUGUGAGACAGUUUUAACUCCAGGAAAUAGACAUAAGUAUUAUCUUUUGCUGCUAUAUAAGUGUACACUAUGCACCUGACUUGUGAAAGUAUGAAAUAAAAUAUAUGAGAGUGAUUGA